AUACUUACCUGGCAGGAGAGAUACCAUGAUCGCGAAGGUGGUUUUCCCAGGGCGAGGCUUACCCAGAGCCCUCUGGGUGUGCUGACCCCUGCAGUCUCCCCAAAUGUGGGAAACUUGACUGCACGAUUUGUGGUAGUGGGGACUGCAUUCGCACUCUCCCCU